rnacentral:lncRNA from 1 species
CGGGAGAACACGGGGUCCCCAGCCCGGCAGGGGAUGCUCGGGGAGGCGGGAGUCGGGCAGGAGUGGCUGGAGGAAGGGAGGAGCAGUUUUACAGCCGUAAUUCCACUCUUUGGCUUCAUUGUCUCUUGCGUUUCUCGGGGGUGCCUGAUGUUAAAAGUCCUGCCAGUGAAGAAUUGCCCUCUUUGGAGUGGAGCACAGAUCCUCCCAGAAUUGACUAGUAACUUUUAG